rnacentral:ncRNA from 1 species
AUUUUUACGUUGAAGAGAAGAGUAGCAAAGUCGCUGAGGUAAGAGAACCCGGAUGGUGAGAAAGGGAACUUGGCAAGCUUGUGAAGAUGAGCUCUGAGUUUUUAUGUGGUUCACGCCAUAUGAACGGGUGCAACCGUUACAUUGCCGGGUUUCAACAGGAACCAGUGAGGUACUUUUUGUGAGAAAAGUAUAAAUGAGGGUGGUAUCGCGAAAGCAUUCGUCCCUUUG